rnacentral:tRNA from 1 species
GGAAUAGUAGUGUACGGGUGUGCAUGCUAGUUUGAAAAGCUAGAGGUAAAAGUUCAACUCUUUUCUAUUCCA